GGGAGCUGUGGCGUCGUCCAUGUUUUCUACAGUCAAUGUGUUGAACGGCCAUUCCAAGAAGCUCUCGGCUGAGAUUACAAGAGUACCGCCGGGCAUGGGAAAAACAGCCUCCGUCGGGCGAGGCAGAUCGGCGGGGGCUGAAAGAGAGAAUUCGGGUAUGUGUGGGAUGAGAAAAGAAGUUAUUACACCAUCAGAAGCAUUUGGCUAAAGGGCUGAUGCCAGAGCAGCUGGCCAAAGGCCUGGUGCCUAAAAGACAGGAGAAGAAAACCCCCCCACCAAAACUCCAAGAGUACCGCCGGAUCUGGAAGAAACAGCCCCCGCCAUGAGAAGCAGACCGGCGGGAGCUGAAGUAAAGGGUUCGGGUAUGUGUGGGAUGAGAAAAGAAGUUAUUACGCCAUCAAGCAGCUUGGCAAAGGCGUGACCCCAAAAAGCACGGAAAAGCACCCUGCAGGACGAAGUUCUCACAGUGGGACGUGGAGCUGUGGUCCACAGGGUUCUUUCAUUGUCUCCUCCCGGCGAGCUCCUAUGAGAAGAAAAAAAAAAAAGUGAUAAAGUGAUGAGACCAGCUGCUCCCCCGUCCUCCCAAAAAGAAGACCCGGCGGUCAAAUUACAACAAUACCGCCGGGCAUGGGAAAAACAGCCCCCGCCGGGUGAAGCGGACCGGCGGGGGCUUAAGACCUGGAUACGGGAGCAGCUUGGCAACGGGAUGACCCCAAAAACCACAGAGAAGCAUUCCACAGGAAGAAGACUCCAAGAGUACCGCCGGAUCUGGAAGAAACAGCCCCCGCCAUGAGAAGCAGACCGGCGGGAGCUGAAGUAAAGGGUUCGGGUAUGUGUGGGAUGAGAAAAGAAGUUAUUACACCAUCAGAAGCAUUUGGGUAAAGGGCUGAUGCCAGAGCAGCUGGCCAAAGGCCUGGUGCCUAAAAGACAGGAGAAGAACCCCCCACCAAAAUCGCCUAACAAAUAAGGGGUCCUGCAUGGUGCAGCAAAUAAAAAACAAUAUUCAAGUAUUACAGUUCUAUGCUUUACUUAAUAAUUAAUCGCCCAUCCCGUCACACUAUGAAUAUUUACAUGCAAAGCGUCCCUGGGAGCCAUCCAUAUGCCAGAGGGAGGGAAGUCUGUGUGUUUAUAGCAUUAAACGCUCAAAUAUCGUCACAAACCCCAUUUCGCCUCCAACCAUGAAAAACACUCACUAACACUCACUAAAGCAUUGCAAGCAUUUUAUUUGGUGUUGCACAAUGUAACCUAUUCAACUCCCAUUUAGACGUGGAGAGUCAGAUUACAGGUACUCUCUCUAUGCUGAACAGAAAUCCCAGGAUGCCGCUUGUCUAGUUCGAAUGUGAAGGGAUCAGAAAUGAGGUUUUUUUUUUUUCUUUAGGUGCUGUUUCCAGAGCAAUGACAUUGUUC